UGGGGAAUUUUGGACCAUGAGCGAAAGCCUGAUCCAGCCAUGCCGCGUGCGGGAAGAAGGCCUUCGGGUUGUAAACCGCUUUUGUCAGGGAAGAAAUCCUUUGGGCUACUACCCCUGGGGGAUGACGGUACCUGAAGAAUAAGCACCGGCUACCUACGUGCCAGCAGCCGCGGUAAUACGUAGGGUGCAAGCGUUAAUCGGAAUUACUGGGCGUAAAGCGUGCGCAGGCGGUUAUGCAAGACAGAUGUGAAAUCCCCGGGCUCAACCUGGGAACUGCAUUUGUGACUGCAUAGCUGGAGUGCGGCAGAGGGGGAUGGAAUUCCGCGUGUAGCAGUGAAAUGCGUAGAUAUGCGGAGGAACACCGAUGGCGAAGGCAAUCCCCUGGGCCUGCACUGACGCUCAUGCACGAAAGCGUGGGGAGCAAAC
rnacentral:rRNA from 1 species